rnacentral:rRNA from 1 species
GUCUACAGCCACACAACCCUGAAUGUGCCUGAUCUUGUCUGAUCUUGGAAGCUAAGCAGGGUCGGGGCUGGUUGGUACUUGGAUGGAAAAAAACUCAGCUGAAGGAA